AGCGAACGCUGGCGGCAGGCCUAACACAUGCAAGUCGAGCGCCCCGCAAGGGGAGCGGCAGACGGGAGAGUAACACGUGGGAACGUACCCUUCAGUUCGGAACAACCCAGGGAAACUUGGGCUCAUACCGGAUACGCCCGAAAGGGGAAAGAUUCAUCGCUGAGGGAUCGGCCCGCGUCUGAUUAGCUAGUUGGUGGGGUAAUGGCCCACCAAGGCGACGAUCAGUAGCUGGUCUGAGAGGAUGAUCAGCCUCACUGGGACUGAGACACGGCCCAGACUCCUACGGGAGGCAGCAGUGGGGAAUAUUGGACGAUGGGCGCAAGCCUGAUCCAGCCAUGCCGCGUGGAUGAUGAAGGCCCUAGGGUUGUAAAGUCCUUUCGGCGGGGAAGAUAAUGACGGUACCCGCAGAAGAAGCCCCGGCUAACUUCGUGCCAGCCGCCGCUGUAACAC
rnacentral:rRNA from 1 species